AGUGAACGCUGGCGGUAGGCCUAACACAUGCAAGUCGAACGGCAGCACAGUAAGAGCUUGCUCUUACGGGUGGCGAGUGGCGGACGGGUGAGGAAUACAUCGGAAUCUACUUUUUCGUGGGGGAUAACGUAGGGAAACUUACGCUAAUACCGCAUACGACCUACGGGUGAAAGCAGGGGAUCUUCGGACCUUGCGCGAUUGAAUGAGCCGAUGUCGGAUUAGCUAGUUGGCGGGGUAAAGGCCCACCAAGGCGACGAUCCGUAGCUGGUCUGAGAGGAUGAUCAGCCACACUUGAGCUGAGACACGGUCCAGACUCCUACGGGAGGCAGCAGUGGGGAAUAUUGGACAAUGGGCGCGAGCCUGAUCCAGCCAUAGCGCGUGGGUGAAGAAGGCCUUCGGGUUGUAAAGCCCUUUUGUUGGGAGAGAAAAGCAGCAGGUUAAUACCCCGCUGUUCUGACGGUACCCGAAGAAUAAGCACCGGCUAACUUCGUG
rnacentral:rRNA from 1 species